GAUGAACGCUGGCGGCGUGCCUAAUACAUGCAAGUCGAGCGAACAGACGAGGAGCUUGCUCCUCUGACGUUAGCGGCGGACGGGUGAGUAACACGUGGAUAACCUACCUAUAAGACUGGGAUAACUUCGGGAAACCGGAGCUAAUACCGGAUAAUAUAUUGAACCGCAUGGUUCAAUAGUGAAAGACGGUUUUGCUGUCACUUAUAGAUGGAUCCGCGCCGCAUUAGCUAGUUGGUAAGGUAACGGCUUACCAAGGCAACGAUGCGUAGCCGACCUGAGAGGGUGAUCGGCCACACUGGAACUGAGACACGGUCCAGACUCCGACGGGAGGCAGCAGUAGGGAAUCUGCCGCAAUGGGCGAAAGCCUGACGGAGCAACGCCGCGUGAGUGAUGAAGGUCUUCGGAUCGUAAAACUCUGUUAUGAGGGAAGAACAAAUGUGUAAGUAACUAUGCACGUCUUGACGGUACCUAAUCAGAAAGCCACGGCUAACUACGU
rnacentral:rRNA from 1 species